rnacentral:lncRNA from 1 species
UUUUAAAUAGGAAAGAGAGGCAAAAGAUAGAAAAACCAGUUACAAGCUAUGUCAAGAAUCUGAGGAAGGAGGAAACUGUGUGUGAAGGGGAUAAAAAGGAUGAAAUAUGAGAAUGGCACUGUUGGUUAGAUGUUACAAGAGGAGGGACACCCAGGAUCUCCCCUGCCCAAUGGGCUUGGAAUAGCUGCCAUCUCAUUCAGUGACUGACCUAAAGUCCCGCAUGAAUAGUGGGAGCAUUACAAGGAUAAAAAUAUUCCAGGCAUGAUCAAGCUCACCGGGAAGCUACACUAAACCAAGUGACAUC